UACGUAGGGUGCAAGCGUUAAUCGGAAUUACUGGGCGUAAAGCGUGCGCAGGCGGUUGUGCAAGACAGAUGUGAAAUCCCCGGGCUUAACCUGGGAAUGGCAUUUGGGACUGCAAGGCUGGAGUACGGCAGAGGAGACUGGAAUUCCUGGUGUAGCAGUGAAAUGCGUAGAGAUCAGGAGGAAUACCGAUGGCGAAGGCAGGUCUCUGGGCUGAUACUGACGCUCAUGCACGAAAGCGUGGGGAGCAAACAGG
rnacentral:rRNA from 1 species